UAGCAUUCCACAGCCAUGGACUAAACGCUGACAACUAACAGAGAUAUCCAGCUCUACACCACUGCAUACCCCCCACCCCCACCCCCCUUUGUCUCUCCCCACCCGGCCCUUCAUUUCCAGCGGACAGAUCUCUCGUCACAGCCAGCGCAUUUUUAUUUAUGCCCUCUUCACUCCUUUUUGCACGAAUGGACCCUUGCACAAGAGAGAGAAAGAGAAAGGAGGGGAGAAAAAGCCUGUAGUAAAGUAAGGCAGAGAAAGUAGGGAGGGGAAGGGGGGGGGGGGGGGGUGAUGUUGUAAAAGCAGUGCAGAAGUGACAGCGCUAAGCGCACCGGCUUUGCUUGAGAGAGAUACAAUUGUGUUUGACGUGACAAAAUAGAAGCGGGAGACGUUUUAAAUUGCGACCCGAGACUUGGACAUUUGAGGCUGAAAAAUAAAGUCUGUGAUUAAAUAAUAUUUUAUUUAAAGAAUGGAAGGAUUUAGAAUUUAUUUAUUUAUUUAUUUAUUUAUUUAUUUAUUUAUUUAUUUAUUUAUUUAUUUAUUUAUUUAUUUAUUUAUUGAAUUUAAUUUAAUUUAACCAAGUGGGGCUAUUUAUCUACGAUUCUCUCGAAAUGCAAUAAAUAUGCAAUAAAUACAUAGAAAGCAAAAAAAAAAGAAAAAAAAGUACAUUUAAAACUGGAUCUUUUUUCUAAAAAAAAAACAAACAAAAAAACUUCUUUAACAAUUGCAUAAAAAAUACUCAGCCCGAAGUUAACAUGUGUAAUAAAUAACCUUUCAACGAAUUGCUGCAGACAAGCUUCCCUCUCUUCUCUCCUGUUCAGACUAUUGUAUCUUAAUAUGCGCUGUAGUUUCGCCCAAUAAUGACAGCUGUUCAGCUGAUAGUAACUUCUUUCCAAGUUUUUUUCCCCUCCCCUCCUUCCCCCACUCGGGCCCCCCUUGGUCUCUGUCUUGCUUUGUUGUUUUAAAAUAUGCAUGUCUCUCUCCGGAAUGCCAGUCACGGGUCCAAACUUUGUGUGUCCCAACCUCCCACAUGAUGAAAUGAUCCUUUUAAAAGCGAGCUCAAUAUGUCUCAAUCUGCACUCUUCUCCCUCCUCUACCGAAGCGUUCUGGGUUCGGGACGCAACCCAGACACGUACAUAAGUGUGUGCAUAUCAUAAUUAAAGCGCAAUUCACUUCACUGCGGACUUUAUUUCUAAGCGCUGAGGAGGAAGACGCGGCUGGAUCAAGUCAAGUUCUGUCAGCGACGGAUGGAUGAAGAUUCAUGGCAGGAAAAGGGGGGAAAAAGCCGCUGCGUGUGGUGACAACGUUGGAGUUCUCUUCGGCUUCCUCUUCCUCCUUCGUCUUCAGGACUUCGUUGAAGAACCUGAAGAUGGACUCAAAACUCAUCCAGGAGCAGACCAAUGCGGCAGUGUUCGCUCGUUCACCCUGAACUGGUGGUGAACUCCCCCCGCACGCCGCCAGCCUCUCCGCCCUACUCCUCCGCAUUCGAGGGUCACCAUGGGGGUGUCUCUGUGCUAAUAUGCAGAUGAGCUGCUGGCCCUCCAAUGACUCGGACGUUAAGCUCCACCUCCCUUUAAAUGGUUGAAGGCUUUGAGAUUAAGUCUUCUCCCUUCACUAUCAUAUAUAGAUAUAAAUUGUCUCACAUGAAAUGUGCCAAAUUGCAUCCACUCUUAUUUCUAAAGCUUAAUGACAAAAUUCACAAUGCGCAUGCUUGGACAGAAGAAAAACAAAAGUAAUAUAUAAACAACAUAGUUCAACAGGGAAUGGACCAUGUCUUGUAAAAAAUGAGUAGCCAAAAAUUCAAGCAAACAGUAUAUGUGUAUCUAUGACUUUAGCAAUAUUCAGGUGGAUUGUUUUUUUGUUAUUUAUUUAUUUUUUUGAGUUUUUCUCAUGUACUGUAAUGUAAUAGCCACAUUUUUGUAACUUUACAAGCUUUUUUAUCUGGCAUAUAACUCCAAAACAGAGAUUGUAUAUUGUAUAUUGUAUAUUGUAUAAAUUCAUAUCUCCUUAACUGUUUAUGACAGUUAAGGAGAUCUGAAUUUUUUUGGACAGCUAUAUAGUUAAAUAAAUAAAUGAAACAAAAACAACAAAGAGAGGGGGCAAGCAGGAACCAAGGAGACGACUGAACUGAAACAACAACAGACAGAAAAAAAAACACCUCCAGUAAUAAUAAUAAUAAUAAUCAGAAUGUACUUCUAAUUACAGUUGGUUAGCAGAAAAAAAAAAGUUUUUACUAUAAGGACAUCUGGUCUGAAACUGAUGAAACACAUUCACAGUUCUGUGGAGACGUUUAACUGUGAGGCAGGAAAUUUCUGGUGCAGAAACAUGCUCUGUGGUGAGGUCACCCGCAUGUUCUCUCUGCUGAGGUCAAGACACAGUUUUGAUGGCCGGGCUGGCCAGCGGCUUGCGGCUGACCAUCCUGAGUGAGUGUGUUUUCCCAAACUCGGUGAGGCCGGCUCAUUAUGUGGCAAGCAGAGAGAAGCAUUUGAUCCUGGAUGGUUAGCCUCCUCCUCUCUGUCACAGCCACUGGAGCCCUCUCUGGGUAAUUGACUGGCUGUUUGAUCUCGCUCUGACUCGACAUUACUACACACAUUUACACAUACGGACAAACGCGUUUAUCUUGCAAGUGUCUGCUCAAUGCCCACAGUUACUCGUGCCAAACACACACAGUUGUGCUGAUUUGUGUGCUGAGGAGGAAUCUAAGAGAGGAGCAGAGCGAGUUUUGAGCUGGAAACAGGGAAACUCGUGCAUAGCUGAAGGCCAUGCUUUCUUCCCUCUGCACCAAAUGCUGCAUGCUGUUACAAUUGGUAAUCGGCUGUGAUUGUCACAAAUUUCAAAACAAACGCUAGGUGACUGAAAAGCCAAAGUGACGCCCCGAGUGAUACUCCGACAGGAGCUGCGAAUCAAAGCAUGCCGACUAUAAUUAGGUUCCAUCUGGGCUACAUUAUUUAAAGCCGCACCAGUUAAUUGCUUGUGUACAAAUGGCCUAUUUUAUUUGAAUCAAAUUCUUUUUUAUUCAUAAUUACACUGAUGUGAAGGGGGGCAUAUCUCUUUGCUACAGUUAUAAUAUAAAUACAUAUUCAAAUUAAGGAUGCUUUGAGGCGAGGCAGAACGCAAAAAAUGAUGACACUUUUAUUUUUGUGAGUUGAUUUUCUUUAAACAAUUAAGAGUGCUUAAAAAAAUACUGACAUUUGGGUUAAAUAUUUAAUGAACUCCAAUUAAAAAAAAGAGAUUAGCCCUGAUAUAAUCAUUAAGCAGAAAUCAGAAACGCAGAAUUCCUGAAAGACAGUAGGCCUAUUUAUAGAAUAGACAAAAAUACCGAUGCGAGUAUUUUUCAUCUUCUCAUUUUCUUGCCUUUUUUUUUUUUAAAGAAAACACCAGAUAAAAAAGAACAACACACAAAUAGAGGAUUGUUUUAUCAACUUCCCAUCACAUGUAACCAAUCUCUAUGUGGGGCCACAGUAGAGCAUUGUGGGAGCACGCUUGGGCUACUUGCAACCUUAGCAGUGUUUCUGCUUGUGGAAACUAUCUGACCUGCAUCGCCGGGAGAGAAUCGCUGUCUGUAUCCUGGUUGUCAGAUGCUCAGAUUUCCACCCAGACUCUUUCUGAUAUUAGAUGGUCCUUUGCCGUGUGUGUGUGUGCAGAAUAUGGGUGGUGGUCGAACCUCGACGUAUGCUCAUCCCCGAGCAAUGCCUACGUAUGUGCAGUCCAGUUUUUGUGUAUUGUAUUUAACAUGGUUAAAGGUCAAGGAUGUCAUUUUCCGCCAUAUGGCUCUUUGUUCGGGAUGGUGCGACACGUUGCCAGUGAAGACGAGGUCAAAGAGAAGCGCAGGCAGGUGACAGGUGGUCAGCCACACCGUUGGAGCAUAGCUGCCCUAUCUAACAAAGCAUGUGGAUGCCAUUUUCUGCCAGGAAUCAAAUUAACCCAUAAAUACAAUCUUAAAUUGUCUCUCAGAAUAGGACAGUUACAUUAAACUGAGCUUAGAAUAGUAAAAAUCAGAUAUAUGUCUCCCAAAUAAUCUGUUUGACUAAAGUAAGAUGAAAAUAGCAUCACUUUGCUUACUUUAAUCAAACCAGAGAAAAUUAGCCAAAACAGAGCUUGUUUGAUUAGACCAGUUUCAACACUGUUACCUCUUCAUUGAAAUUCAUUUGUGAUGCUUGUUUGUAAGUGGGGUCCACUCCGCUUCCCCCACUUCCACUCACGUUUCUGUCAUCCUGCUUUUAAUUGCUUUGCUUAUUACUGUGUGUUGUUGUUAGACAAAAACAAGGCAGAACUCAUUACGCAUCCAGAGAUGAGGAACCUGAAUCACUUCCUACAGGGGCUGCUCAGGGGACUUUGUAUUUCCAAAGCAAAAUAAAAAAAAGAGAGAGUGAGAAGAGAAUCAAGACCAGAAAGCUAAUAUCACAUUAACUGGUUGAUAUUAUCACCCAGUCUCUGCUACUUUGUUUUCAAUAAAAUGGUCUAGAGAGGAAAAAAACUGUGACAAGAAUAAAACUCUCAUCACAGUGCCCUGCAAACAUAUUUACACUCAAACUUUGUAGAUACUGUAACGCUAUAAUAAACAAUGUAUAUGUAUUACAUUGGGAUUUUAUGUGAUAAACAGACAAAUACGAUGAAAAGUGGAAGGGAAAUGAUAUAUGAAUAUAAAAAUAUGUAUUCAGUCCCAAUACAUACCAGGACUUUUUGGAACCGGAUUUUGCUGUAAUUACGCAGUUAGACGUCUUUUAGGUUAUGUCUUUAUCGGCUUUACACAUCUGUGGACUGAAUAUUUUGACAGUUUCACUUUGCAUGACAGCUCAGUCAUGUGAGUCAUGAGUGUCUGUGAAAGUCUUGCCAAAAAUCUUCAAGGUUAAUUUAGAGCUGGACUUUGGCUGAUUCAAACACCCCACGAUUUUCUGCCUGAAUCUGAACCUCUGCCUCACUGUAAAGUCUUAUGCAGUCUCUGACAGGUUUCCUUCCACGAUCACCCACUAUUUAGCAAUAUUCAUCUUUUGAUCAACCACUGUUAGUGUUUUGGAUGGAGACAGGAGCUAUGGUCCCAUCUGAAUAGAGCACCAUCAUCCACAUGUUCAAUGUGCCACCUACAUACUUUGUUGCUAACUGCUUUUCAUCAGCAGCCAUUUUAAUAAUGGCUUUCUUCUUACCAUUCUUCAAUAAAUCCAAGAACAAUGGAGUUAAUGACUAAUUGUUGGCCUUCAUAAAAAACAAUGCUGCAUACCUCUGUAGCUCUUCUAAAUUUACCAUCAGCCUGUGGGCUGCCUCUCUAAUACUGUCAGUUAAGGUGGAUGAAUAUGUCUUUACAUUUUUGUCAUGACAUCAAUUGUUAGAAGAUGGAUUGAGUGGUGUUCCUUGAGAUCUUUAGAGCUCAGGAUAUUAUUUUGAAACCUAAACCAAUUUGGGCAACUUGGUGUUUUUUUAAAUUUUUUUGGAAAGGGGGUUGGGAGUGUCAAAUAAAAUAGUGUUAACAGAAAUGUAAAUCCCAUUUUUCUGAUACUAUACUUUGUGUUGGUCUGCCGCAUAAAGUCCCAAUUGAAGUUUCCCAAUAUAAACAAUAUAAUAUAAUAAUUUGAAAAGUUUGAGGGGUAUGAAAACUUUUGCAAGGCAUUGUACUUUUUAUUUCUCAUUUAGUUAAACCCCGUAAUGCUUCCUCUUCAACCUAUUUCCCUCUCUGGCCAGACUGUCAGACUGGACUGAGUGCUUUUUUGUUUUAACUGGGAAGAGUGGCCUUGGCUGUCAUAGAAGACACUCGCUUUUAUAGAGUUGGAGCGAAGUAUUUACAAGAUAACCCUGGUCCAAGGACAGUGCAAUUUGAUACCAGUGUCAGACGCUCUUCUCUCCAGUAAAAAUUGUUAGGUCCAAACCUCUACAUAACCUCUCAAUGUCAGCAGCUUUAGUGAGCUCUGAGGAAAGUGGUUGAGAUGCAUGUGAAUAAGAUGAGAUACAUAUUUGACGAGUUUAAUAAAGAGUUUGACUCCGACUUAGCUUGUUCGUUGUAAAGAGUUUAACAGAGAGUAUAUUGAAAUAAUAGAAUAAAGCUGAGUCUGUAGAGCUAUUGCCUCUUGUUAUUUUAGGGAUAGACAGAUUGAUACAGAUAAAUCCCUUGAGGAAAAACACACAUUGCAGUGUGAUUUGAAUAAAAGAAAUGAACACAGAAAUAUUUGACAAAUUCUUUAUUUGAAAAUUGUUCCUAAAGAGCCCUACAAAACUAUUAAUAACCCCUUAACAUUUCCACAUAUAGUCAAGUUGGUCUUUCACACAAGCUCCAAGAAAACAUAUGGAAGUUUAUGGCUGAAUGGUGACGAGAGGUGAAAAAGUGGAAUAUAUAUUUUAGCACUGUGCCGUGCUGCAACCGUCAGACAGUGUUCACUCUAGGAUAGCCAAGAUUUCUUGUGUUAAAAAUAUACAUAAAACUGUUGCUUUAAAGCGAAGCAUCUGGGUAAUAGAAUGAGACUAAAGACAGUAUAGGUUUGAGACAAACAGUGGGCAAACAUGUAUGUUUAUGGAAGAGACUUGUUAGAAUUACUGCCUAUACUUUAGCACUGUAAACACUGUAGUCCAGUCCAGGCCUUUUGUUUCAUCUUCACCACCAUUGGUCAAUACUUAAAUGGCAAACACCAAGCUUGCCUCACACGGCUUUGUUUUUAGCCAGUUGAGGGACAAUGGAAAGCUUUUAUUUCCAUGGCCAGACACAAACUCAAAAGUAGCAUUGCUAAAAAGAGAACCAUUCCACACAGACCCUGCACAAGGAAUGGCAUUAAAUGCAUGCAUAUACAUACUCUAAGUGAGAACGUCAUGACGGAGUGGAACAGAGUGGAUACAGAUUAUCUACACAUGUAGGUAUGUAGAUGGAGAGACUUUCCAGAGAGUCCAUGAACUAAAAUCCAAGCCGAAUUGGACACACUACAGUACUUCUCUAUGCUACAGUCACUCCUCAUUCCAAUAAACACAUCUCCUGGUCCACGCAUACUCAAUGAGGUCUGGAACACACACACACACAUGCACUUGUUCACCUACAGGACAAGCUCACUCACAUCAAUCAGCCACAAAGGCUCCAGAAAAAGAGAGAAGCAGAAGAGGCCCCAUAGACCUGUAACAAACACAAGACGUAUUCUGAACCAAUGGUUGAAGAUUAGACAGGUUUGAGUGUGGGAACAGCGUGUGGGAAUAUAUAUUCAACCACAUUUAAUCUGAUACCCCUAAAUAAAAUCCAUUGCAUUCUACAGGCUUUUAGAACUUCAGAAGUAUAUCCAUGUCUUAGAAUGGCCUAUUCAAAGACCUGAAUCCAACUUAAAGUCUCUGCCAAGACUUAAAAAGCUAAUGUUCUCAGAGGAUUGCAUCCAAUCUCACUGAGCCUAGGCUAUUUUGCAAAGAAGAAAGGGCAAAAAAAAAUAAAAUAAAAAAUCCAUCUCUAGAUGUACAAAGUUUAGAAACGAACCCUAAAAAACCUACAGCCAUAAUUAUUCCUAUGCAUGUACAAAGCUACUCUUCCAUUGACUGUGUGAUCUAUGAAGAUAAUGUGCGUUUCUAUGUGUGCAUGUGUUGGCUGGAUGAAAGGACUACACAUGAGAAAAGAGAGUUCAGGUGGGGGGAGGAGCAGGCCAGAGGUGGAGAUAGCACAGAGUGGGUGUUGAGGGUGGGGCAGGUCUGAAAUAGAUCACUUAAUGGAACAAAGUGUAAUUAAUGGGUCACCACAGAUAAGAGUGCUCUAGCACUAUCUGGGAAUGUGCUAAUAGAGCUGACACACACUCAGCAAGAUCAGUCCACAGCUAGAUCUCCUUCAGAGUGUCUGUGUGCAUGCGAAGUUUGUGCACAUGUGUAGGGGUGUGUUUUGACACAUGGUGGAUAAAUAGCGGGUGGAGAAGACUGCCAAGGUGACAGGUUAACAUAGUUUCCUCCCAGACAAAGAUCUGUUGUCCUUGCAAUCAGAGAGAGCUCAGAAGGAAACACAGACUGUUCUCCCUACGAAGCCUCCCUAGUUCACGUAGACCUUCAGCCUCACAUCAAAACAUGACUGAUGUUAUUACACUUUGCAAGCCGGCACACCUUCAGUCACGGGGAUGUGGUUGUUUAUGGAGAGAUGGAGGAGAAGGAAGCCACCUGGUCAAGAGGGGGUCAAACUUGAAGUGUUCUGACAGAAGUAAAAUGCCACAAACCUCUCCUUAAACUUCCUGUCGAAAUGUGUCCCUGCGUCAGGGGAACUCCUCUGGAGCCAAGUGUCCUAUGUGUGUGUGCGUGUGUGUGUGUGUGCGCAAGGGUGUUGGAUGAAUCUCUCAGUUUUUGGAGCAGGGUGAGGGAGGGAUUGCAGCCAGCCACAUGCCUUGGGAUAUUGAGACGGCCGGUGAUGGACAAGGCAAGACAAGGAGGAUAUCCCCUGUUUGUCUUAAGGAGCGGAGCUGCCAUGUCACACAUACUCUCGGGGGGGAAAAGUCUGUCUCCAGGAUGGAUUUCUUUGUGUGUGUGUGUGCCUGUGCACGAUGUGGGGAGAUUGAGGCAGAUAGGUAAUACAUGCGGUUUAUUUUGUGUGCACAUUCAGGGUCACAGACCUAGGGGCCAUCUACUUCAAACUGGUUUAGUCAGACAAGGCAAGGCCACAUUAACACACAGCAUGACUUAGUAAUGGAGAGACCCUGAGCUUGGUGCUGCUCAUAUGGGACUACAAUAAUAAUAA